rnacentral:rRNA from 1 species
CUACGGGUGGCAGCAGUGAGGAAUCUUGGACAAUGGGCGAAAGCCUGAUCCAGCGACGCCGCGUGGGUGACGAAGGCCUUCGGGUUGUAAAGCCCUGUCAGAGGGGAAGAAGUUCUGACGGUACCCUCAGAGGAAGCACAGGCUAACUCCGUGCCAGCAGCCGCGGUAAUACGGAGUGUGCAAGCGUUGCUCGGAAUCACUGGGCGUAAAGGGCGCGUAGGCGGCUUGGUAAGUUGGAUGUGAAAGCCCUCGGCUCAACCGAGGAACUGCAUCCAAAACUGCCUGGCUAGAGUACGGAAGAGGAAGGCGGAAUUCCCAGUGUAGGGGUGAAAUCCGUAGAUAUUGGGAAGAACACCAGUGGCGAAGGCGGCCUUCUGGGACGAUACUGACGCUGAGGCGCGAAAGCGUGGGGAGCAAACAGGAUUAGAUACCCUAGUAGUC